rnacentral:rRNA from 1 species
AGCCUGAUGCAGCCAUGCCGCGUGUAUGAAGAAGGCCUUCGGGUUGUAAAGUACUUUCAGCAGUGAGGAAGGUUCAUGCGUUAAUAGCGUAUGGAUUUGACGUUAGCUGCAGAAGAAGCACCGGCUAACUCCGUGCCAGCAGCCGCGGUAAUACGGAGGGUGCGAGCGUUAAUCGGAAUUACUGGGCGUAAAGCGCAUGCAGGUGGUUUGUUAAGUCAGAUGUGAAAGCCCGGGGCUCAACCUCGGAAUUGCAUUUGAAACUGGCAGACUAGAGUACUGUAGAGGGGGGUAGAAUUUCAGGUGUAGCGGUGAAAUGCGUAGAGAUCUGAAGGAAUACCGGUGGCGAAGGCGGCCCCCUGGACAGAUACUGACACUCAGAUGCGAAAGCGUGGGGAGCAAACAGGAUUAGAUACCCUGGUAGUCCACGCCGUAAACGAUGUCUACUUGGAGGUUGUGGCCUUGAGCCGUGGCUUUCGGAGCUAACGCGUUAAGUAGACCGCCUGGG